AAACAGUGAACGAAAGCCAGUGUAGUGUGUCAGACCAUACUGGAGGCUGAGCUGAGAAGCCCAGGAGUCAUUACUGUAAAGAAGUUCGUCUUGGAAAUCUUCAAAAAAAAAAAAUUUAAGAUAACAUUUGAACUGACAGGAGUUGUUUCUCCCAGGACAACCUGCCCACAUCCACAGGCUGAGUGGUCAUUGAGUGGUGUGUAAGUGGUAUAUCGUCACUUGUUUGCCAUGGACAUCUGCAACCUUGAUGACCUCUUUCUGUGAACAUAUGUGCUUCUUGGAUACGGAAAGAAGUACCAAUAACAGUAGUCUGGCUUUCAAGACUCCAUCAUGCACAACUAGUCCUCUUGCCUAUCCAGAGGUGUCUCCUACGUGUGCUCUAAUACUUGUACCUCUGUAAGAACAACAACAGGAAAGAAGAAAAAAUGGUGGCAUCAGUGCCAGUGCAAUAUGGUGUCUGCUAUAAGGUAUUGGCUCCUGAGUGUGCCUAAGUUUGUAAUGUGAUGUAUGUGUUUGUGAGCUAAUUAUUAAAACUGACCUAGUCCUAGAUGAGGUGCUCCAAAUACCUUAAUCUGGCUUUAACCUGUGUGCCUGUGUUUUUGAAACUAAUUCAGCAUCAGCUCUCUUGCCUGCUAAUACUCAGCAUUUGUUGGUUUAAAGGUAAAUAUUCUAGGAUAUCAGUUUUUUUACUGACCAGUUAAGCCAUGAAGAAACAUGUGUUUAAUUUGCAUAAAUUGUUGUGGGGAAAUUGUAGCUACCUGAUGUAGUCAUGAUGUCCUCUUUAACUGUAGCUACCUGAUGUAGUCAUGAUGUCCUCUUUAACUGUAGCUACCUGAUGUAGUCAUGAUGUCAUCUUUAACUGUAGCUACCUGAUGUAGUCAUCUUCUGUAGACUCAUCAUGUGCUGUUUUGUAGUUAUGUUGAUUCUUCAGUCAUUUACCUGACUGCGUCUGUGGGCUGUUGUUUGUCUGAAUGUGAUUAAAGAGUGAGUUCAUAGUUUUCAUUUGAAAUAAAAUUCUAUUUAAAAGAAAUCAUUGAAAAGAGUUUGCACAGAUACGCAUUUAAGUGCAUGGAAAUUGGCGGGCGGUUGAGACAUCUGGUGUUGUCUCAAUCGAGAUGAAGAUAAAGAUUUAAUCAUCUAAAUAUUUGGGAUGAUUUUUGGCUCGGAUGCUCAUGUACACCAGAGACAUUCCAAUCUAUCAAUGUAUCAUCAUGCCUCUAUCACAGUCCAUUUCUAUGUAAUGUAAUAUUUUUGUCUGAAGCUUUUAUUCAUUCAUUUAUGUUCUGUAACUGCUUUAUCCUGUGGCAUAAAUAUACUUCUGGUAGAUUUUUUUUCUUGUUGUUGGUCAAGAGCCUAUAGCACAAUUCGAGUCCCACAUUUCAUUGUGUGCUUUUAUGCAGAUUGCAGUGGAUUCACUUUCACCGGGGGGAUGACUAUGUGCACUAGAAAAUAAAGAGCACAUUUGGCAGGCAGUGCUGAAGUGGUUGCUGUGUUAUUGCAUACCACGGUGUUAGGCGUGGAGGAAAAGCUGAUGACGCACAUUGAGGGGGAAAUGCACUUUUUUGCUUCAAGAGAGGCGUUCUGGCCAUGAGUCAUGCACGCACAAUACAGUACAUGUGCAGCAACCCUCUAUUUAAAUGUUUACUCAACCAGUGCUUUUACCCCUUAAAGCAGUAUAAAGAAGGGUCUGUAUACUGUCUGUACACGUCACUGUCACUAUUCGUUGAGGCUUGGUUAACCAUUAUAAUAGACCAGGACUAUGUAACAAAAAUAAGUCUGGGCAAUAAGAUAAUAUAAUAUUGAUAUCAUGAUAUAUCACAAUAUGAUUUUUCGGGUUGUUGUAGAUAUUUACUUUAAAAAUAAAUGUAAUUACAUUUAUUAUUAUUAUUUACAUGUAACUGAUUGCAGAUGGGUGGUGAAGGCAAGACUGACCGGAAAAAGCCAUCGGACGUCACUAGAGAUGAAUUGUUGAAAGCAAAUCAGGUUUUGACCAGAAUUUCGUUUUUCAGCCAAGAAUAUACUUUGAAACCUCUACCUAAAGAAAACAUGAAUAUAUUUUAUACAAAAAGAUAUGAAAAGGAUUUAACUUGGGUUAUUUUCUAACCUUGCCUAGUUGUGAGGAGUGUGAGAACAUUUGAGGAGUCUAAUAGAUGCAGUAGUAAAAACAAUUAGUCUGCAUAAGACGUCAAAAACCUUGGUAGUUAAGUGUCAUAUCAGGUCAUAACCUGAUACUGGCUAUCAAAAUGUCUGCGAUGCACCUGGUCAUAUCUUCAUCAAAACGAAGAGAGCUUACACACUUUGUACAGAUGACAGAGGAUGUUUGUCAAAACAUGAAAUGGCCUAAUAACUGACAGUAAUAGCAAGAACUAGUCAACAGAACUGACUGAAUUAAUUACUGAGUUUAUCUCCACCAAUGUUAGAUCGGUUAGAGAUCAGUCAGGUGAAGAAAGGAUGAUGAGAGCCCAUAAGUGUCUUUUACCCCAGGUGAUUUGACAGACUGGUGUGAUGCUGAUAGUCAUAGUGGUAACUCAUUUCCCAUUUUAAAGAUGUAGAAAAGUUUACAAUGUGUAAGAAAAUGCUUUUAUCCUGAUCGGGGUCUCUGUGGAUCCGGAGAUUAUCUUGGUAACACUUGAUGCGAGGCUUUUUGGAACACCUUCUAUCAGUUGUGAAUUAGCAAGUUCGCAAAAAAUUGCCAACCACAGUAUCUUUUCAAACUGUUGUUCCAGCGGUGUUAUAGAGUUGCUGAUUGUAGUCAGUCAAGAGUGCCUGCUGCCUUCUCCCGUUUUACACAAGUGGCUGAUCGAUAGAGAAUGCCAAGCUUCCCACUCGGAGGACAGGACCAGUUGUGCUCUCUCUGCCACCUGCCUGUGGAUGACUAUGACAUCAUAGAAUUUAGGAUCUCCUGACAAUAGUGCAAAUGGUGUCCCUCUUGUUUCAUUUGUCCUCCUUUGAUUGUUGAAUUAUUUUGAGAUUAUUAAUUAAACUGGGCAGCAGGCUAGUUUUUUCAGUACCAUUCAUUGUUGGAUCAAGAAGGUUUUGUCGGAACUGUCUCAAAUAAAUCUAAAAUCUCCACCAGCAAAGUUGGUUGUCUUGUCGUGAAUUGUGGACGCAGACUGAUAACUCAUUAUACCCACUAACUCAUGAUACCCAUUACUCAAUGUAUUUUUUUUUUUUAAAUGAAGUGGACAAGCUAUACCAGGAUUCUAUACCAUAUGCUGUAUCCUGUAUAUCUAGUAAGGAGCAAUUUGGAAUUCAAAUGUUAGACCCUGGAAAAGUGUGAACUGUUAAGAGAGAAACAAAAGAAAAUGAAUAAAUUUUCCUUCAAUUUAAAACAAUAUAAUAAACAGUUGAUCUUAAAUAGCCUCGUCAUACUAAAUAACAAAAUGGUUAAAAGUUUAGUGAGAAAUCAUGGUAGUGUAGCAUGUAGAAAUGCUGCCUCACAGCUUUAGGUCCCUGUUUCAGUCCUGAGCUCGAGGUUACUGUCUGUGUGGAGUUCCACAUGUUCUCACCUUGUAUGUUUGGGUUCUCUGAUUUUCCUCUGCGUGUGCACGCGUGUAUGUGUGUGCGUAUUAGAAAGAGAGAUUUCCUCUGUUGGACAAGUGUCCCAUCUACGGUGUAUUUCUGGAUAUGCUUCGGAUCCACUGUGAACUUGAGGCUGAAUGAAUUGCAUAGUAUAAGGCCUAGUUCAUGCAGGCUUUUAAAAGAAUGAGUGAGAAAAUCAAUGAAAAAAUAGUAAACGUGAAUAUAAAACACUGUAAGUACAGCAUGUGGAUUAAUGUUAGGGUUCCCUUUUCCAUUUUUCACAAGAACCAUUUAUUUCAUGGUCUAUGGAAAAUAGACAAAAUGGAAAUUCCAGCUUAGAAAGAAUUUAUGAAGACAGAAUGCCCUCAGCAUAGUAUGACAUGAUUUGUUUUCCAUUAAUUAAAAAAAAAAAUACAAAGACUUCUUGUUCCUUUGGUACUGAUUAUAACUUGAAGCAAAGCAGUCAUGCCCUGAUCAUCAGUUGGAUCCCUAGAAUGAAUUACCUAAAGCCUUCCUGUAAUUGUUUUCCUAUUAGACCAUUACGGAACUGAUAGCUGAAGCUCUCAGCGUGGGAAAUGGCAGGGGAUCUAGACAGAGAAAAAAAAGAAUUAAUUGCGUUUUUCCAUUUUACGUACUAAAGCUCAGUUCUCAGGAAUCCCAAAGUCCUAUGUAUCUUGAAUCAAGUUCAAAUGUUAUUAUUUUGUCAAAGAUUUAUUAUUUUAAUGUGGCAAAGCCAAUGGAAAGAAUUAAUGUACCUGUCUCUGUCCCUAAUGAAUAGCUUGUUUGGCCAAGUGACUGCACACACAUGCAUUGACGUAAAAGGAAAUUGGCCAGUUGCUUCUCUCUCAGCAGAAUCACAGCACACCAUGACCUCAUUUUCCAACACCAAGUUAUCUGAAUGAUCAUUUAAUCUGAAAGUUCACAGUGUUGAAAAAGACCAGUGAUAUUGAGGUUUGACUCUCAGUUUUGAACUGUUUAAACUUAUUUGCUAUUUUAUCAGCAUAACUGCAAGGAAUUCAGCAUAAGUGACCAUGACGAUGAUAUGUCAUAUUACAUUACAUUACAUUACAUUUAUGGUAUUUGGCAGACGUCCUUAUCCAGAGCGACGUACAUUUAUCUCAGUUAUACAUCUGAGCAAUUGAGGGUUAAGGGACUUGCUCAAGGGCAAUGGCAAUGAUGGUGUUGGAGUUUGAACUAACGACGUCCUGAGCAGAAGAACAACACCUUAACCACUGAGCUGCACUGCCCUGUCUUAUAUAUUGUGGGAUCUUGUGCAGUGGGGUCUGGUUGCUGGGUGUUUGUAUUACGAAUAGAAAAAUGGUUCUGGGGUUUUACUCUCAGAGGGUGGGUGGAAGUUUCUAACAAUUUCUGUCUAUCUCAAUGUAAUCAUCAGGAACCUGCAGCCAGUCCAUUUUAGUUCUAUUCCAUCAAGCUAGAUCUUGGUAAUUAGGAUUUAAAUGAAAAGUCGCCACUGUGCUGAGAACUAAUAUCAUACCAGACCCACGGAUUCAAGGGAUGUGUACUUGGCUCAGUAUUUUUGGGAUGUGCAAGAAAAAUCUUCCAACUGACUCGUAGCUGGAGCUGGGUUCCAAAUGUAGGUUAUCUGGUCCUCUGCAUUGUUAGAGAAAUACUGGCCUGGUGAAGUUUGCUGGUUUGUACUGUCACCUACUGUAACAUAACACAGUAUGUGGAUAAAGCACGUCCUACAGACAUUACUGGUGUUCAUUUUGAUACAGCUAAAUGUAUUUUGACUGAAACUUCUCCAUUGCUGGGAUUUUUGAUUUUCUGAGCAGGUAUUUUACCUCUUAAUGCCUGUGGCAUGGGUUUUUCAAUCUCUUAACAUAAGGCUGUACUGUUUGAUUUGCUUGUUCCGUCAUACCAAGAAAUUUAACCAUACUUGCCUUAAUGAACAUGCUUGAGAAGUUUACAAUCCUAAGACUAGCCUUGAUUUAAUUGUACAUACACAAUCUUACACUGCCAUGAAGUCCAAUGAUGUUUACUCUGAUUAUAUUACCAACCAUGCUAAACUUCACACAUUUUGCAUAGGAGCUGUACAAUUUUACCACUAUCAAUAUACACAAAUUUAUGAUCAAAAAUGGUAAGAAAUGCCACUUUCUUUUUGUUCGAUAGAGAAAAAAUGUGAAAAUGAAAUAAAAAAAUUAGAAAAAAAGAAAAAAAAUUCUUACCUAAAUAAAUAUUGAAUAGGCUUACCACAGAUCUGCAAACAAGUCUUUUUUCACCCUCUUCUACAGUUACUGGGUGACUCUCUACGUUUGUUUCUGCAGGAAGGUUCUGUUGCGAAGUUGGCAUCCAGAGCUAGCAAUUUCCAUCUGGAUGCUAUGUCUACUCCUCUGAUUAAAACAUGUCUUCUUUCUCCAUACCCACACAUAGGUAAUGCUUCUCUCUUUGUUCUGGCUCUGUUCCCACCAACUUGAAAUUGGCUACAAUCCAGUUCUUAAAAAGCCAGGGCUUGACCCAGUGGAGCUCAGUAAUUACAGGUCUAUUUCCAACCAGCCUUUUCUGGGCAAGCUAUCCAUGUGAGCAUGUGGUAGCAGCUUAGCCCAAAGAAUGC
ensembl:lncRNA